AGGUGGCAAGCGUUGUCCGGAAUUAUUGGGCGUAAAGCGCGCGCAGGCGGCCUUUUAAGUCUGAUGUGAAAGCCCACGGCUCAACCGUGGAAGGUCAUUGGAAACUGAAAGGCUUGAGUACAGAAGAGGAAAGCGGAAUUCCACGUGUAGCGGUGAAAUGCGUAGAGAUGUGGAGGAACACCAGUGGCGAAGGCGGCUUUCUGGUCUGUAACUGACGCUGAGGCGCGAAAGCGUGGGGAGCAAACAGG
rnacentral:rRNA from 1 species